rnacentral:ncRNA from 2 species
GAGACGGUAUGCCGCCUUGGUUUUUCCAAUAGGGAACUCCGUGAAAAUCGGAGACGGGCCCGCCGCUGUGAUCCUUUUUCCCAUAUCUGUUUUUCAUGGGUGAAUCCUUCGGUCUUGUAUGCCACUGCUUUUUAGUGUUCUGAUUUGUUCUUGAAAUUGAUCCUGCAAUUUUCGCAGGGCAUGGAAUGGAUGGAAUACCGAGUGGGAAGGCUGCUGAAGUGAGAAGGAGAGUCAGAAGACCUGCCUGAACAAAAUGAGCUUU